rnacentral:rRNA from 1 species
UACAGAGGUCUCAAGCGUUGUUCGGAUUCAUUGGGCGUAAAGGGUGUGUAGGUGGCGCCGUAAGUCGGGUGUGAAAUUUCGGAGCUUAACUCCGAAACUGCAUUCGAUACUGCGGUGCUUGAGGACUGGAGAGGAGACUGGAAUUCAUGGUGUAGCAGUGAAAUGCGUAGAGAUCAUGAGGAAGACCAGUGGCGAAGGCGGGUCUCUGGACAGUUCCUGACACUGAGACACGAAGGCCGGGGAGCAAACGGGG